UUAACUUAAGCUUUUCCGUGCUUUUCUAAGAGCUCUUAUAAAUAACUUUUUCCAAUUGUAGUUAUACUCCUUUUUCUCUGUAGACAGUGUUCUAUAAAGAAUGCCAGUCUUCUGUUAGACUACCCAAUUGGUAUUUCCAGCGAAAUUCAUAUUCCAAUAUGAAUUUCAUACUCCAAUAUGAAUUUCCUACCACCUGUCAAUGGACUGCACUCAAGUUCACCAUUCAAUAACGACUCUAAGUUUUCCUUAAGAUUUACACUUAAAGUGUCUAGGAAGACGUUCAAAAAAUAUUGAGACUAAUCACGGUUGAGCGCCGCCGGGAACUAUCACCUAGGCCAUGCCCGUGCCUGAAAGAAAAGUCAGGACGUUGAUUCGAACGGAUUCGAAUGCAACGAGCACUAAGUACGGUCACAUUAUUGGAGGAAUGACCGUGUGCUUGGUUCGUGAUUUGGAGUCACAAGUGAUAGCUGCAAGCUGAUGUCACUCGAACCACUGCACCAACCCGACUAAGCAUGAUCGAAAAAAGCUACAGCUCAUUAUGGCGUCAGUUUAGCUUUAAUGCUAAAUUUCGCAAACACGGUGAACUAGAUUGACAAUAAUAAAAAAUGAACUUUAUUCGUCACUUGCUGUGUUACUUAUUAUUAAGAAUCUCAAUUAUGCUAAACAAAUUUUGACACGCAAAAAAUGCUACAAUAGAAACAGAAACGGUUGCACUCACGGAUCGUGACUGGAACAUGUAUACCAAUCCCGCCAUAAGACCUAGAAGUUACUCUUCGGUUGCCACCAGGUGGCAUAUGAGUAGCAUAUUUCUAUGAAAUCUUUUGAUGGCUGUCUGCUGUCUGCUUAACUGGGCAUUGAUGGCAGGUUAAUUUUUAAAAAGUUUGUACUUCAAAUAUAGGAACUAUCUUGCUUUCGGCGGAUUAUUCUCAGUUGGAACUUCGAAUAUUGGCGCAUUUGAGCGAAGACGCAGGUCUUUGUUCUGUUCUUAGCCAACCCGAUGGCGAUGUUUUCCGCGGCAUUGUAUCGGUUUGGAAAAAGAAAAAGCAAGAAGAAGUCAGAGACGAUGAAAGGCAAAAAGCGAAACAAAUCUGCUACGGGAUUGUUUACGGCAUGGGAUGUAAAUGUUUAGCCGAACAGUUGGAAGUCGGGGAAGAAGAGGCUCAACUCUUUGUUAACACUCUACACGCAACGUAUCCUAGUAUACAAAGCUUUAUAACAAACACAGGUCAACCGAUGUGGAAAAAAAUUCAGGAGGAAAAUGAAUUGAGCUGCUGACAUUGGCCUAUUCUGGAAUACAUCAGUUUGCAUCAUAAUCAGAAAGGUAAUAUUGCCUCUUUUAAUUCCUUAUCCAGUUGUAGCUAUUCUAUUCUAUGUAGAAUUUGUAGAAUUUGUAGUUGAAUCUAUUAGAAUUUGUAGCUACACAUAUUCUAUUUAUCCACUCUUCUUCCUCUGUGUAUUAAAUUAGACUCCCCACCCUCUCAUUCAUAUCGUGACCAAGGGUACGAAUCACGUGAAAGCCCAAAGUUCUUGUAACCUGUUGCCUUAUAUGUUUGUGUCACAUUGGUUUCAUAGUCUAAACGAUAACAAUAACAAAACUCGCUACAUUCGA